rnacentral:rRNA from 1 species
AGCAUAUCAAUAAGCGGAGGAAAAGAAACCAACAGGGAUUACCUUAGUAACGGCGAGUGAAGCGGUAACAGCUCAAAUUUGAAAUCUGGGUCUUUUAGGCUCCGAGUUGUAAUUUGUAGAAGAUGCUUUGGGUGCGGCCCCGGUCUAAGUUCCUUGGAACAGGACGUCAUAGAGGGUGAGAAUCCCGUAUGUGAUCGGUGGCUUGCGCCCGUGUAAAGCUCUUUCGACGAGUCGGGUUGUUUGGGAAUGCAGCUCUAAAUGGGUGGUAAAUUUCAUCUAAAGCUAAAUAUUGGCCAGAGACCGAUAGCGCACAAGUAGAGUGAUCGAAAGAUGAAAAGCACUUUGGAAAGAGAGUUAAACAGUACGUGAAAUUGUUGAAAGGGAAGCGCUUGCAACCAGACUUGCGCGGGGUUGAUCAUCCGGGGUUCUCCCCGGUGCACUCGGCCUCGCUCAGGCCAGCAUCGGUUUUGGUGGUUGGAUAAAGGCCUUGGGAAUGUGACUUCUUUCGGGGAGUGUUAUAGCCCUCGGUGCAAUGCAGCCUACCGGGACCGAGGACCGCGCUUCGGCUAGGAUGCUGGCGUAAUGGUUGUAAGCGACCCGUCUUGAAACACGGACCAAGGAGUCUAACAUCUAUGCGAGUGUUUGGGUGUCAAACCCAUACGCGUAAUGAAAGUGAACGGAGGUGAGAACCCUUAAGGGUGCAUCAUCGACCGAUCCUGAUGUCUUCGGAUGGAUUUGAGUAAGAGCAUAGCUGUUGGGACCCGAAAGAUGGUGAACUAUGCCUGAAUAGGGUGAAGCCAGAGGAAACUCUGGUGGAGGCUCGCAGCGGUUCUGACGUGCAAAUCGAUCGUCAAAUUUGGGCAUAGGGGCGAAAGACUAAUCGAACCAUCUAGUAGCUGGUUCCUGCCGAAG